AAUACAUAUUUUCUUCCUGCUUAACACCUCAUCGAUGCGGAAACAUGCGGUUUCUUUUUUUAUGUGUGUCAUGGAUAUGAAAUAAUCUUUCUUUGAUAUAAUUUCAUACCCAGAAUUGAAUGAUAAAUCAGAUAUGUGUCAGACUGGCCCGAACUCCCUGAGUCACAGUUCAAAGAAUCUCUUAACAGUCUGCGGUAGCUGAAAACCGCAAGAUGGUGAUUACUUUAACACAUUCAAGACAUAAAGAUUUCUUACUAAAUUUCCUCAGCAAUUGACCCUUCUGCAUAUUUAAGACCUGGCUGAACCAACAUAGCCUGAAGGAGCUCAUGUGAGACAGUUCAUUUCCCAGAUUAUACCAAGUAGUGAAGUUGAAGUUUUCCCUGUUCGAAAAUUUGAUGUUAGCCAUCACCAAUUGGUUGACCAUUAUGGAAUAUCUGUUUCACAGAUGACGACGGAUAUGUUCCAAUUGCCGUUACCACAAUACAGUCCUCUUUUCCGAAUGUGAACUUAUUGCCGAAUUUGUAAUAACAUAAGCAACACGACGGGUGCCAAAUGGAAGCAGGAUCUGCUAACCCUUUUGGAGAGUCUGAAAUCACUACGGUUUUAUGGUGAGGUUCGUGUUCCUCAGUCUAUAGUUUUCUAUGUUAAGAUUUGUAAACUGCUGUUCAUCUUUAAGUCGUUUUUCUUUUUUGCCAUGUCGUUGUCAGUAAGUCUUCGACUUAUGAGUUUGAACAUCCCUUUAAUAUAUAUCUUCCGGCCAUCUUUUGUGAUUUUAUGACCUUGACUGCUAUAAUGUCUAUAUAUGUGCGCAAAAUAUGCUAGAAGGAAGUGGUUUUAUACAGUAUAUACACAAUAAUUUUGUUUUCAUUGUAGACAUGUGACAAAUAUUCUAGAUUGUUCUAAAUAAAUAAUAUUUAUCUCAAGGUAAUAAAGAUAACGUACACAUAGUUUAUAAUCAUUGUGCAUAUGACCAGGUUUAGUGCUUAUAGGUUGUAGACAAUUUUAUGUGUGUAAUGUACAAUGACACAUCAUAUUUUUGAACAAAACACAAAAGCGCUUCAUGUCAUUAAUAUCCAUCCAUUAAAGAAAAGAAAAUAAAUAAAUAAAUAAAUAUAUA